rnacentral:rRNA from 1 species
AACCCAGACUCCUACGGGAGGCAGCAGUGGGGAAUAUUGCACAAUGGGGGGAACCCUGAUGCAGCGACGCCGCGUGGGCGAGGAAGUAUUUCGGUAUGUAAAGCCCUAUCGGCAGGGAAGAAGAAAUGACGGUACCUGAAUAAGAAGCACCGGCUAAAUACGUGCCAGCAGCCGCGGUAAUACGUAUGGUGCAAGCGUUAUCCGGAUUUACUGGGCGUAAAGGGAGCGCAGGCGGCGCGCCAAGUCUGAUGUGAAACCCCGGGGCUCAACUCCGGGACUGCUUUUGAAACUGUACAGCUUGAUUGCAGGAGAGGCGAGUGGAAUUCCUAGUGUAGCGGUGAAAUGCGUAGAUAUUAGGAGGAACACCAGUGGCGAAGGCGGCUUGCUGGACUGUAAAUGACGCUGAGGCUCGAAAGCGUGGGGAGCAAACAGGAUUAGAUACCCGUGUAAC